CCGCACUGCGCAUGCAUAUACGCGUCGUGACGAGAUGACGCCAAGACAAUACUACGAACACGUACACCACAUCACAAAAUAAAAGAGUAGGAGACGAUGGAUGGAUGGAUCAGUGGCAGGUGGGGAGGGCGAUGCCGCAGGAGGAGACGGCCUUGCGGGCGUUGGGGCUGUUGACGUAGCGCCCGUAGCGCGGGUCCUUGGCGAACUGGCAGAAGCAGCCCUGCUGCGCCCGCAGGCUGG
rnacentral:lncRNA from 1 species